AGUCGAAUCGUGAAUAUUAAAUAAAUAUAAAAACUCUUCAUUCUAUCAUUGUUUUUCAUGAACAAAAACAACAUUUUACAUAAGAAUUUAGUGAAAUAAUAAAUUUAAAAAAAUAUAUUUGAAAAAAAAAAACAAAGAAUAUAUAAAUGCAACAUAGAUAACAAUUUAAUAAAUAAAAAUACUUAUUAAAAAAAAUUUAAUUCAUGUAUCAAAUGUAUUAAUAAAAUUUACAAUAAUUAUUAAUUUAAAAAAAUAACAGUGGAACAACCAAGUCGCAACAUAUAAAAAAAAAACAGCACACAAUAUUAUUAAAAAAAAAAACUAUAAGUAAUAAAACGAUUUUUAUUAAAACUCCUUAUUGAUUAUUUAAUUAAAAAAAAUAUAUUAAAGAUAAUAAAAAAAAACUGCUUAGAUAAAAAAGAAAAAAAAAAAUGGAAACAUAAGACAAAAAUAUUAGGAAUCAUAAAUGCUGUGAAUCUAUUACCAAAAUCUUUUAAUAGCGAAAUAAAUUACAUAAAAAAAAAUAAAAAUUUAAAUUAAAAAAAAAAAACCAGUAAAAAAAUUAUAUGUAAAAUAUUUUAAUUUUGAAAUUUGAAAUUAAACAUUUAAAAUAAAUAUCUUAAAAAACUAUAAAAUAGAAAAUAUUAAUGAAUUAAAAGUAUAAUUAAUAAUAUAAGAAAUUGAACAAUUGUUGUAACUGCUACAAUAUAUAUAUAUAUAUAAAUUUUAAUUAGUAUAUGUGUACAAAAAUAUUCCUUAAUUAUAAAACUAAAUUGAAAUAAAUAAAAUUAAAAAUAAAUAGAAAAAAAGUACAAAAUAUUAAAGCAAAUACCAGAAUUUUGCAUUCUGAAUGCAAACAAAAAUCAAUAGAAACUGCAGACAUUAAGUAAAAAAAAAUAAAUAACUUAAAGACUUCUACAAUAAAAUUAAAAAAGAAAAAAAAAAGAAAAAAAACAAGAAACAAAAUAAUUUUUUUAAAAAAUUAUUUUUUACAUUAUUAAAAAUUAAACAAAUAAAUUAAAAUAAAGCGUGUGUUACUAUUAGUUAAACAAAAUAAACAAAAAAAUUAAAAAAUAUUUAAGUUUAAAAUUUAAACAGUAAAAAAAAAGAAAAAAGCAUUUUUAAGAAAUUAAUAAUACUUUUACAGCUUUACAAAAAAAAAAAAAUAAUUAAAAAAAAAAUACAAAAAAAAAACAUGAAAAAGUAUAUUCUAUAUUAUUAAAAAUUAAAAUUGAUAAGAAAAUCUACACCUGUGAUAAUAUUGUAAUUUCAUUUUUUUUAUUUCUAAUUUGUAAUUAUUAAAAAAAUAUAAUAAAAACAAGGAAUACUGCAAAAAAAAAUUAAAAAUUUAAAAAAGUAUAUAUAUAUACAUAACAUAUAAAUUAUAUAUAAUUAUAUAUUAUUAGAAGAACACAUAUUUAAGAAAAGGAAACCAAUCACGUGAUAUUAUAAAGGACUUCAAAGUACAUUUUAUAAGUAAAGAAAAGACUUGGAAAUGUAACCUUUAAAAUUAUUUAAAUAAAAAAAAAUAAAAAUAAAAUAAUAUUAAUUAUAUUAUGUAUAACAAUUAUAAUAAUUAAAAAAUUAAAAUAAAAAAAAAUACAAAAAAGAAAAAAAAUAUUAAUAAAUAAAAAAACGCAAGAACAAAAAUUAUAAUUUAAAAAAAAACAAAAAAUCUAUAUUAUAUUAAAAA